GGCUCAGAUUGAACGCUGGCGGAAUGCUUUACACAUGCAAGUCGAACGGCAGCACGGGGCAACCUGGUGGCGAGUGGCGAACGGGUGAGUAAUACAUCGGAACGUGCCCAAUCGUGGGGGAUAACGUAGCGAAAGUUACGCUAAUACCGCAUACGAUCUACGGAUGAAAGCGGGGGAUCGCAAGACCUCGCGCGAAUGGAGCGGCCGAUGUCAGAUUAGGUAGUUGGUGGGGUAAAGGCUCACCAAGCCAACGAUCUGUAGCUGGUCUGAGAGGACGACCAGCCACACUGGAACUGAGACACGGUCCAGACUCCUACGGGAGGCAGCAGUGGGGAAUUUUGGACAAUGGGCGCAAGCCUGAUCCAGCCAUGCCGCGUGAGUGAAGAAGGCCUUCGGGUUGUAAAGCUCUUUCGGCCGGGAAGAAAUCGCAUGGGUUAAUACCCUGUGUGGAUGACGGUACCGGAAUAAGAAGCACCGGCUAACUACGUG
rnacentral:rRNA from 1 species